rnacentral:lncRNA from 1 species
CCCAGGUUCGAUCCUCAGCACCACAUACAAAUAAAGAUGUUGUGUCUGCCGAAAACUAAAAAAUAAAUAUUAAAAUUCUCUCUCUCUCUCUCUCUCUCUCUGUUAAAAAAAAUAUUUAUUUAUUUUAGUUUUCGGUGGACACACAUCUUUGUUUGUAUGUGGUGCUGAGAUCGAACCCGGGGCCUCAGGCAUGCCAGGCGAGCGUGCUACCACUUGAGCCACAUCCCCAGCCCCUGGGAGUCACUCUUGAUGGCUUUGCUGAUAGCACCCCAUGAGUGACUUGUCCUGUGCCUAUUCCUGUCCUUUUUGCUUCUUGGCCCCCUCCCCGGGCUGCAGGUCUAGGUGAUUUCUCUCAUAUCUCUGCUUUUGCUACGAAUCCAGGUCUUCUGAGUCUCAGAACCACUCAGGCUGGUCACUCCUCAAUCACUGUCCGCCCUGGGCUCUCCAUGGCCCUUGUCCCCAGGAUGCUUGUUUCCCCUGCAGACUUGCUCCCCUUCCCUCACAGCCUUCCUUGCUCACAUUUCUCCUCUGCCCUGUGAGGGUCCUCUCUCCCUGCCCAUCCCUCAGGGGCCUCUUCUGGCUCUACAUAGCUUUCCCUGGAAGAGUUUCUCCAUACCUGACCCCUUGGCUUUGACCUGGAUGCCUGUGACCUGGUCCUGACUGCUCUUCAGUUCCAGACCCCCUUUCCUGGGUCUCUACAGGCCACAUCCCUGAGUCCACCACUGACUGUGUACCUCCCUCCUCCCCUUCCUCUUGUUGGUCCCACCUGUCUUCAUGGCCUCCGAAGACAAAAACCACGGUGUCCUUCCCAACUUUUCUUCUCACUCCUCCUAACUAGCCACUAAGCCCCACAGAAUCUCCCUUGUCCCUGCUUCAAUCUGAAAGUGGCCCUGCUUUCCCUAAGCACAACCCUCAUUCAGCCCAAUCAUUAUUGUCACAGACCUCUGCAGCUGUCUCCCAUUGUCCUUGUCACCGCCUCCUCCAAGCAGCAAUUUAAACUGACCUCUGGAUCACAUUUCCUUUGAGCAUUGAAUGUGCAGGCCCCAGGACCCCCUCCUCAGGCAGCUCAGAGAAUUCACGGGCCCCUGACUUAAAUGUCUGGCCCACUUCAGCCAGAGAGAGAGAAGUACAGUCCAGGUUCACACUUACCCUUUCACACUCACAGAACGCAGGCCUCCUCAGAAUGAAUGGGAGAGUGUCCUUGCUUUGAAUGAAACGCCAAUGAGGGACAACUUAAGCUAAUUAUCAAGUCAUGCCGGAAGCCAAAUUAUAGACAUUGUCAGGUUAUAAACACCAUUUCUCCAGAGAGCCGCUUGAAGACAUCUGGGCAGCUGGGAGGUAGCCGAGCUCAUUAUCUUCCCCUCCAACUGGCUCUGUCUUCUUGUCCCACCCAACAUGUGGGGGAAACUUUGGCCUGAGCCAGGAGUCUGCUCCCCCACCCCCUGCCCAAAGCUAAUAGGCUACAGGUAUAACGAUUCUCCCUCAAAUACCUAUCCAAUUCUUGGCCAGUACCUGCCAUGUGAAGACUUUAACAUAUGUGGCUGCAGCCUUGGGUGAGUGACUGAAUAAGUCAGAGCCUCUGUUUUAUGGAAAAACUGGAUUCUUCUUUUUUGGGGGGCGUGAUGGUACUGGGGAUCGAAUUCAGGGGCACUUGACUACAGAGCCACAUCCCCAGUACUACCUUGUAUUUUAUUUAGAGACAGUGGAGAUUUAGCUGAGAUGGAGUGUGCCAAAUAAGCCUAGUGAGGAGUUCAAACUAGCAAGUGCUGGUCCCCAUCCCCUUCUCACUCCCUCUCCUUAAUUUCUCCCAUUGCCAAGUCUGAUCCAACCACUUCCAUGGCUUCAAAAUGGUCCGUAACUCUCCAUCCUACAAGACAAAGUCCAAAUUUCUUAUCAAAGCCUUCUGCCAGGCUGGGGCUAUGACGGAGCACUUGCCUAGCAUGUGUGAGGCACUGGAUUCGAUCCUCGGCACCACAUAGAAAUAAACAAAUAAGGGCUGGGGACGUGGCUCAGUGGUAGAGCACUUGCCUGGCAUGUAUAAGGCACAGGGUUCGAUUCUCAGCACCACAUAGAAAUAAAUAAAGAUCCAUUGACAACUAAAAAAAAAUUUUAAAAAAGAAAUAAAUAAAAUAAAGGCAUGCUGUCCAUCUACAACUACAAAAAAAAGUUAAAAAAAAAAAAAGCCAUCUGCCUUUUGAGUUCUAGUUCCUGCCUGUCCUCCUUCUUGUGGUUCAGCUACACUAGCCUCCUUUAUACAUUUCUUUAAAGCACAGUCAUGCCAAAGACUGUGAAGGAAGAAAGUGCAACAUCUUGAUGGAGGGAUUGGCUGUCACCCAUGAGACUCAGGCAUUGAAGACAUCCUGAGGUCAUCAUAGUGCAAGAUGCAGUGGGAGCAUUACCUACGAAGUGUUUGCAGUGUUCUUGUCCAUAGUGAACUUCAAUCUAAUGACGCCCGAAGCUCGAAGUUUCAGUUUACAGGAUAAACAACAUCCCACAGAAGCAAUCAGAGAAAUCUGGAAGGUGGGACAUGGUGUCUAUAAUUCCUUAGCAAUUGGGGCUGGGGUUGUGUCUCAGUGGCUAGUGCUCUCCUAGCACGUGUGAGGCCCUGGGUUCAAUCCUCAGCACCACAUAAUAAUAAAUAAAUAAAGGAAUAAAAUUUUUUAAAAAAUCUUCAGCAAUUGAACAAAUCAAUGGCAUGGGUCAGGGAAGAUUAUCCUAGAUUUCAAUGAGACUUCAGAGACAUAACACAAUGCAGUGUAAGAUCUUAUUUAAAUCCUGGAUAGAACUAACCAAAUGGAAUAAAAAAGCAUAUUCUGGAGCUAUAGCUCAUAUUACAGGGACAAGUAGUUAAAUUUGAGUAUGCAGGGUAUUAGAUGAUACUAAGGAAGAAUUGUUAACAUUGUGAGUUAGGAUUAUAAUAUUGUAGUGAGCAAAUUAUCUGCAGUAUUUAUGGGUGAACUGCCUUGCAAACUCUAAAUUACUUGAAAAUAUCUCUUCAAAAAUGAAAAGUAUACUAAAAUGUUAAUUAGUAAAUCUAGGUAAUGAGCAUAUGGGGGAAUUCAUUUUGCUAUAGGGUACUUUUGUGUGUAUAUUGGUAGUGGGGACUGAAACCAAGGGUUCUCCUAUACCACUGAGCCAGCCCUUUUGAUUUUUUAUUUUAAGUCGGGGUUUCACUAAGUUGCUUAGGGCCUUGCUCAGUUGCUGAGACUGGCUUUGAAUUUGCGAUCCUUCUGCCUCAGCCUCCUGAGCUGCCAGCAUGCAGGCAUGAGCCAGUAUACCUGAUUUGGCUAUUUCUUUUUAGGUUUAAAAAUGUGCAUAGUAAAAGUGAGAUGGUUUGG